UACGUAGGGUGCAAGCGUUGUCCGGAAUUAUUGGGCGUAAAGAGCUCGUAGGCGGCCACUCAAGUCGAAUGUGAAACCUCGAGGCUUAACCUCGAGCCUGCAUUCGAUACUGGGCGGCUAGAGUCUGGUAGGGGGAUCUGGAAUUCCUGGUGUAGCGGUGGAAUGCGCAGAUAUCAGGAGGAACACCGGUGGCGAAGGCGGGAUCCUGGGCCAGUACUGACGCUGAGGAGCGAAAGCGUGGGGAGCAAACAGG
rnacentral:rRNA from 1 species